ensembl:lncRNA
GGAAAGAGUCUGCACGUACCAAAUAACAAAGUGGCAUUCACUCAGAAAAGGAAACACGAUACAUGUGGGGAAAAAGCAGCUGAAACACAGAUGUUCCAGGGGAUGAGAAUCCUAGAAAGCUGGAGCUCGGGAGGAGAGCUGGGGGUGACGGGAAGCAAAGGCUGCAGCUGAAGGAAACACCCCAGGUGAUUCUGACCCAUGGUUACGGGUCAGAUGGUGGUGGGACAGAGGCGUGGAAAUGCAUAUGGGUCCCUGAGCUGCUGACAGAGCAAGAAUCAAGAUGCAGUGGAGUCAUGCUCUGAGCUUCCCUCAGGGCUCCCGAAGGCUUUUCUCAUGCUCCGUGUUAAGCAGUCUCCUUCCUUAUGCUUCCAUUCCAUGGUCUCUAAAUAUUCUGAUCUGCUUGGGUGGCAGUUUCACCAUGGUCAACGCAGCACCGGGUAUUAAGCAGCACUGAUAGUUUCCAAAAGGUUUGAUGCUUAGUGUUCCUUUCAGUAUUUCUCCAUCUGAAUAUUUGCCAUAGCUGAAAAUACACAUUUGUAAUUCCAAAGGUAAUGAGCGACAAGUCCUAACACUGGGAACUGCUGUGCUUUUCCUUAAUGUCAACCAUCUGCUGGAAACGGAUGACGAGAAGGAAUGCAACAGUUUUCCUGAACUGUAACAUGGCACAGGUCUGUAACAUCCCAGCGUAUCAACUGCUGGUCCAUAAAGCACCAUUUUCCAGCAACUUCGGGAGGAUGGGAAAAACGAAGUGCCCAUCACUGACACCUGUGGCUGCCAUGUGGCUUGAGGGGUGGCUGGUGGGAGUGCUACGGCCUCCUUGAGCAACGGCACCAGCUGCCUUUGACUUGGAGUCAUCCCCUGGUCCCAGAGAGCGCUCCUUCUCCCCCUUUCCUUUCUGAACUUUCUUCUCAUAGAAAAGGGAAAAAGACACGGAACUUAAGGAAGAAGUUAAAAAGAAAUGCCCUCUGUGCGUUUUUGCUUCAGUAGAGGAAACUAGAAACUUAUGGAGGCUGGUAUAAGAAACAGAGCGAGGCAGAAACACAGAAGUUUCAGUAUUAACAUCUUUUCUUUAUUAAGCUCUUUGUUGCUGUGAAGAAAAACUGAAGACCUUUUUGAUUUGUUUGCAUUUUUAUAAGACAAUUGUGUAUCCAGUUCCCAGUCUCUAAGCCUCAUGAAUUAAGUGCAGGCAUUGCAGCAUGACGGAUCUCACAAGACAUCAUCUAGAAUCACAGGAAGACGUAAAAAUCUUACAUUUGAUUUUUCUUAAAAAUGCAUCAUUUUCUUCCAAAGCCGUAACUCUAACAGUUAUAGAGAGAAAAAUAAGGAUGUCAGCACUUUCUUUUUUCAGAAAAAGGGUACUUUUCCAAGCUCAGUUCCUGGUUUCAAAGGGACAUGACUCACAUUUUCUCGCAUGCCUGGACACGACAGAACGGUUUGGUAGGACACAGACAUGAGUGUGACAGCUUGAAAUCCCCAGUCCAUGGAAGAAGCAAUCAAUUUUCAUCUUCCUCAUUGAUGAGCUCCUCUGCAGUAUGAGGUAUCCAGACAUGAGUGUAUGUUCAAAAAUGGUGCAAAAUUAUUCUCCUAGAGUCUGCUGUUCAAACUCUUCCUCUAACCACAGCUUUCAUAUACGUCAUCCUACAGGUUAUAUAGGCCGUUUGUGUGGAAAGCCUUCAUUUCUGGCUGCCAUGUUGAAGAACCUUGGGAAGACUUGACUUCUUUCAUGCUCAUCAGUUCCAAAAACCUGACCUCCUUAGAGGAUGUCGUGGGGUGAGUGACAAAAAUAGCUCAUUGCUACUGAAAGUGCUGCCCUUGGGAGCGCUGUGAGGAAGGCAGCACGUUGGGUGCCAUGGCCAUUGGCAGCCCGGAGAAAGAGGCUGCUGGUGGCUGCAGGGCUCCUGUGCUGCUGGAAGUUGUUCACACUUGAGCCUUCCUGGGAAAGCAAGGGCAAUCUAAAUUUCUAAUGCAGCAAAACAAGCAGGAAAAAGAGAAAUCAAAGCCUACCUUCAAAGGCCCCUUUUAUGCCUCAUUAAAAAACUGAGAAAGACCCAAGUGGGGUCUAACCACUCAGUCCUUUUAAUCUCCUUAAGUCUGCUGUGGGCUUGCUUGGUUUUUUGGUUUUUUUUUCCUCCGGUUUGUCACAAACCUGUCACAGCAAUACGUGCUGACAGCCAUGCAACAACAUUGCUGAGUCCCCAGUUCUACACCAGGCAGCAUGGCCUAAUGCGGCCUGCCGCCCAGGAGCAACAAGCUCCUCUUCCCACCCACAGACACCUUCUAGCUCAGGCAGGCUGCAGACCCACUUUCUGCCCUGGACAUUUAUCCAGGUACUUAGCAGAAUUUGUUAUUUUUGCAAGCUUUGACAAUCUCUAGCAAUCUCAAAAGUGACUGUGACUCUGUAUCUGAGAAAGAAAUGGAGAAGUCUCCAGUGGGCAGUCAUGGUUUGGCUACUAUGAUAUUGAAGAGCCACACAUUCUCCUACAGCCUCUACAAGUAUGCAUCAUUUAAAAUUUAUUUGACUUCUUCCAGCUUUUUCUUUCUUUCUUUUUUUUUUUUUUUUUUUUUUUUUUUUGGACUUAUAUAGAUCUGGUUUGAUAAUUGUUUUCUUCCUUGGAAUACUUUGCCUUCACAAAAGUUCAUUUCUACUCAGAGACCAGAUGCAUCCUCUAAUAACAAUUACGUAGCACAGAGCAAUAAACCUAUUGUUUAGCCCAGUAAAUCAGGCCGUAUAAUCAGAGAAGGCAGACUGUUAUUUCUUCACUGUACAUUUGUAAUGCUUUGUUUGACUUCUUAUAGGCUCAGGCAUAUAUACAUACAUACACAAAUAUAUAUGUUUCUAUGCUUUGGGCAUGGCAAUCUGCAGAACAAAAAGAGCAGAGCCCCAUGUUAGUGAAGGGCUGCUGAUCCAGCAUGACAGUGCCCAUCCUUGUAAGUCCUGACCAUGGGGCCUCUGAGCCCCCAUCCUACAGUCCCAAGGUUGAGCAAUGGGAGGUUCACUGGUGCUGUGAAAUUGAACACCUUAGCAAGAAUGCUCCCCACGAUACAAGAAAAUGUGUCAGAGAAUAAUAGAAUAGUAGUAAAAUAGAAUAAUAGUAUAAUAGAACUCUUCAUUAGAAGGACCCAUAGAGUUCACCUAGUCCAGCUCCCUUGCAAUGAACGGGGACACCAACAGCUAGAUCAGGUGCUCAGAACCCCGUCCAGCCUGGCCUUGAAUGUCUCCUGGAAAAAGGCAUUCACCACUCUCUGGGCAACCUGUUCCAGUGCUUCACCACCCUUACUGUAAAAAACUUCUUUAUUAUACCCAGUCUAAAUCUCUCGUCUUUUAGUUUGAAGCCAUUUCCCCUUGUCCUAUCACAGCAACUAAAUAGUGUGUCACCCCCAUUAAAUGCAUUUCUCAGGGUCACGUCUCUCUGGGGCACUCCUGGAUGAGUGGCUCUUUAUCUUGCAGGCUUCCAGCACAAGAACUAGCUCAGCUAAGUCUUUUCUCGUAUAAAUAGCCUGUUGGCACAUAAACCAUGCUCAGGGGCUGCAUUCUACCAAUAAAUUCUGGUUUCUGCUCUGAACAUCCACCUAUCCCUUCAGCAACAAGUCUUCCAACCAUGCUUUUUCACAACAGCCUUCACUCUUGCCUUGCAGCUGUCUGUUGCAAUGUUAUACUGUGGGAAUAGGAUGUAUCUAGUUUUAUGUUUGGCAGUCGGCACUGCAGAAGGUCCCUGACAUCCGUAUUCUGACUCCUGCAAUGGUACCUGUAGUAGGCUACCAGCACUUGUUGUUCUGUCCCUUGAACGUGCCCCACUGUUUAAAUUCUUCCUGUGCAAUCUUCAUUUCCCUCCCCUAUAGCUUAUAGCUGCAUGGGUAACUAUUAAUAGCACAUUGCUGCACUGGAAAUGCAGAGCCUGGGGUACGAAGAACUGAGAGCUUUUGACACUUUACCAAAAGCCGGUCCAGGCUGUCCCCUUAUCAAAAGUGCCAUCCCACUGCAGUUUACAUGGUGUGCCCAGCUGCAUGUGCAAAUCAUAUCAGCACAAGUCCCGUGGGCUCUGUCAAGGAGCUGGGCAGCAAAGCCUCACUCUGCAUCAGUCUGGCUGCCCUCUGCCCUGCAGAUAGGAAGCCUCAGCUCCCAGAGCCUGAAAACUCUGUCAGGUUACCGACAAAGAGGAAAAGGCACUGGGGAGUCAAGAGAUUCAGGCUUGUUUCCCAGAUUUGAAACAGUUGUCUCUCAUGGCCUUGUGCAAAAUGCUUUUUCUCCACUCCCUCCGGGUCCUUAUCAGGAAAACUGGAACAGCAGCUUCUCGACUCCCUUCUGUCCUGCCUGCCCCGGUGCUAAUGGGAAGAGUUUUGCUGAACGUGGUAGAGCACAGCCCAGCACAAGGAGUUCUCACAAGGGCAGUGAUGGGCCCACGUCCUAAACACCACCAUAAGCAACCAGGUUAGGAGCCAACAUUCCCUGCUUAAUAUCAAACUCUGCUUUUUCUGAUAAUGUGGUAUAUGCAGAGAUUGUAUUCUGCACUGAAAAGCUGCCCUGGGGUUGUGAGAGAUGUGCAGCCCUGUAGCCUCAGGAUGCUCUAGGUUCUCUGUCAGGUUUUUAUGGGAACACAGCAGGCGUGGUUUAUAUGGGUACAGAGCAUGUCUAGGAGGAGCAUGGCAUUCACAUGGUGAUGUGGGACACCAGCAGUAGAGCUUGCAGGGCUGCACACCUCUGUGGUGCCCACUGACCCUACUCAUAUAUUCCCAGACCCUUGAGGAGAACAUCAUCGAGUUCCUAAUUCUUUUGGAUGUCUGCAGACCUCAUAUAAGAAAUUACAGUGCAAAUAUCCCAGGGUGAUUUUCCUGCCUGGAAACCUUCCAGGUUUUUAGCACGUGAGUUUCGUUUCAUACUGGUAAGCAUGCAGCUCUUCGUAUCUGGCAGCACUCCGAGCUGAAACACCGCUGUGGGAGAAGAGGACUUUCUUUUUGCCUUUGGUAUUUAUGUCAAGGGAUACUUCCCUGGGCCAGCUACUGGGGGAAUACUUUUGGAGGAAGUGACUGACCUGUGUAGUGCCUGCCUAUGUUGGUGGUGGCAAUGGCACCUUGCUCUGAAAAGUGUGGCUCCUCACAGCGAGAAAGACAUUAAAACCCUGGAGUGUAUCCAGACAAAGACAACAAAGCUGUGAAGGGUCUGGAGCACAAGUCUUAUUGGGGAGCAGCUGAGGGAACUGAGAUUGUUCAGGCUGAAGAAGAAGAGGCUCAGGGGAAACCUUAUUCUCCACAACUGCCUGAAAGGAGAUUGUAGUGAGGUGAGGAUUGGCCUCUUCUCUCAGGUAACCGUGAUAGAACUAGAGGGAAUGGCCCCAGGUUGUUCCAGGUGAGGUGGACACUCUCUUCUCAGAAAGAGUGGUGAUGCAGUGGCACAGGCUGCCCAGGGAGGUGGUGGAGUCACUGUCCCUGGAGGUGUUCAAGAACCAUGUAGAUGUGACACCGAGGGAUGUAGUUAAUGGGCACGGUGGGUUGACAGUUGGACCAGAUGAUCUUAAUGGUCUCUUCCAACCUUAAUGAUUCAAUGAAUUCCAUGUUUCUACGAUUCCAUGAAGGUUGAUCACCUCCUAUGUGUCCAGUGUCUCCGCCACGGUGAGCUGCAAGGUGCAAACUUCUACAAGGGCUCAAUGCAGCAACAGCAGAAAUUGCCCCAAAAAGCAGUGUUUCAAAGAGUCUUUUGCAUGUUGGAAUUUUACAAAUCUCCAAUGAGGAAAAAAAACUCUUCAUGGUGAUGUGCCAGGCUGGGCUGCAGCCAGCAGACCUGGAGCGGGAGCAGCUGGGUGGCAGAGCAUGGUGGGAGCACUGCAGCCAGGAGCCUUCACUGCAGACUCACUCACAUACUGCAGCCCUUUGGAGAGGAUCAUCUGCAUAAUUACAAGGAUCACAAAUUCUGCACUUCCCCUAUCAGUGAGCGUUUUCCUUUUGGGUACAGUAUGUUCCUGCAGAUUCCAACGAUAAACUGUCCUAAUGGUCUUUGCAGUCAUUUGAUGUAGCUACAUAAAAAUGUCCUAGCACUGCGCUGGAAGGCAGCUCCCCUCCGCGUGGAUCUGCAUGGGAACAGGGUGUGUGCAGCACGUCCCAUCCACGGGUAAGCUAAUCCUCUCUGCAGAUAAAACUUGCCAGCAAAACCUAGCCUGAAAAAGUAGUUACCGGGGUUGUUUAUUUUUCAAAGGAUGGAUAAAAUUUCAGAGCGAUAAAAUCACUUCCUUGAAAUGCUUUCAUUCAAAUAAUUUACUUCCUUCUGGAAGGCUUAAUCUUUCCUUUGCUGAACCUUUUUUUGUUUUUUUUUUUUCUUUUAAUUUUUGCUCCUUCCCCAGCAGGGCAGAGCUGGGCCAAUGUGCAGCUGUGAGCGUGAGCGCGGUGAGCGGGCAGCACGUGCCGUGCCAGCUGUGCCCAACGCGCACCGGCAGCCCUCCAGCAAACGUCCCAUUGUGCUGGUAAAUGUCUCAUUGUGCUCUGUUCCCAGGAGCCCCGCAGACCACGACAGUGAAAACUGUUGUUCAGCGCCAUUAGAGGGGCUGCACCCUGAUGUGGGGUGUGCUGGUGGGCUACACCUUGCGGGAGGGGAGCUGAGCACCAUGGGUUUGGGGAUCACCUCCUCCAACUUCUGGGCGAAGGAUGUGUUCUUUGGUGAAGGCUGAGCUUCUGUGGUUAAGCCCAUGUAAGUCUAGGCAAAUGACCAAAGAGCACGACAUUUGCUAAAAAGCCACAGAGAGCUGGCAGUGCUGGGGAAGCAGUGAAAAAUGAAUUGUUUUUGCAAAGUCACACAAUUAUUUUAGUAUGGCUGGCAGCCAUCGCCUGGAAAACUCAACAGAGCAGUGAAUAAAUGCCACUAAAAAACAAAACAAAAAACAAAACAAAAAAAAAACCCUAAAGGGUACAUCUGUAUCUCUGGCUUAAGUGGAACUCUGAAUGGUGUUUCUAUCCCUGCCAUGCAGUGCAUGCUUACUGGAAAGUGGCUUUGCGAGCAGAGCUAUUUCAACCAGCUGCUGGGGAACUUCAUGGAGUGCUGCAGGACCUCAGCGCACAGAGGUUGUCAUGCUGUGACCUGGGGGAGAACAAUGAGGGAAGCACAAAGGUUACCCAGAAAGUUGGUCAAUGGAGAAAGAAGGGCUGAGCCUCUUGCUGCAGCCUGCAGGACAUGGGGACGUCGCACCCAGCUCUCUCUGCACAGCAGGUUUGUUGCAGCCUCUUGUAUGGGCGGUGUCCUUCAGCUGGGGUUUAACUGGUGGCAAGGCCUAUUGUUCACACUGGGCAGAAACCAGAACAUAGGGGAAAUUCGCCCCAGAACCCAGUCGUUCUGAAGAAUGUAGACUCCUCUGCAAACAAUGACAGGCAGGGUGAGAGGAGGAGGAGGGUUCAGCUCCCCAUGAGCAAAGAAAGCAUGGUGAUCACUCAUGCUGAUGUGUACAGGGUGCUGCAGGUCUGUCUGGCAGGGCUGUGUCUGUGAAUGCAGAUUUAUACCACAGCCUAGAUGUAUCACAGUAUAUAUAAUGCAAGUUUAUAUCACAAGCGUAGAUGUAAUGAAGGAUAGGAAAAGGAAGAGAUUAAUGGUCUUCUGUCCCCCAUAUUAGCCGCCAGGCACUAAUACCUCUUGGGUAAAUACAGUGGCCCUGCUAGACACCUUCUCCUGGCCUCUGUAGGUCAUAGAGUUGUAGAAUAAUUAAGGUUGGAAAAGACCUAUGAGAUCAUUUAGUCAAACCAUCAGCCCAUCCCCACCAUGCCCGCUAACCACGUUCCCUCAGUGCCACAUCUACACAGUUCCUGAACACCUCCAGGGACAGUAAUUCCACCACCUCCCUGGGCAGCCUGUGCCACUGCCUCACUGCUCGUUCUGAGUAGAAAUUCUUCCUAAUAACCAAUCUGAACCUCCUCUGAAACAACUUGAGGCCAUUAUCUCUCAUCCUAUCACUGUUACCUGAGAGGCCAACUCCCACCUCACCACAACCUCCUUUCACGUCACUGUGAAGUGUGAUGAGGUCUCCCCUGAGCUUCCUCUUCUCCAGACCAAACAAUCCCAGUUCUCUGAGCCACUCCCCAUAAGACUUGUGUUCCAGAACCUUCACAGCUUCACUGCUCUUCUCUGGACGUACUCCAGGGCCUCAAUGCCUUUCUUGUAGUGAGGGGGCCCAAAACUGAAUACAAUACUCAAGGUGCAGCCUCCCCAGUGCCAAACAGGAAUGACCUGAAGCUGCUUAUAUCUAUUUUUGGAUUGUCUGCUAGCCCAUUUCCUAGUACUCCCAAGACACCCAGCAUGCAGAGCAUCAUAUAGAUCUAAGAGAUAGAAAGAAAAAUGAACAAAAGGUGAAGAAGUUGAAUUAUACCUACAAAAGGUUAAGAGGAUUUGUCAGGGCUGGCAUCGAGUCAGUUUCUAUCACCAUAAUUCCAGCAAUGUAAGUCCUAGCUGGGCUUGGGUCCGUUGCUGACACACUGUGACAGCAGGGCACCGCUGACCACUAAGCAACUCUCAUGUGUCCUUUUUUGUUCAUAUUGGUAUUGACAUUGUUGGUUUUAUGCUUUUAUGAACUGGAUGGACGGAGAUGGAGAAAGCUGCAGUAGAGAAUCAAAUGCAGUGUGAACUAAAGUAAAUAGAAAAGCACUGGAACAAGUUGUGCAGAGAGGUGGUGAAUGCCCCAUCCCUGGAGACAUUCAAGACCAGGCUGGAUGGGGCUCUGAGCACCUGAUCAAUCUGUAGGUGCCUCUGUUUAUUGCAGAGGAGUUGAGCUUGAUGACUUUUAAAAGUUCCUUCUAACUCAUACGAUUCUAUGAUUCUGCAUCUUCAUGAGGCAAAAGCAGAUUCUGGGGCCUUUUGGAAGACCAGGUAUUCAUCCUGCAUCCCAAGGGGAGGACAGCACAGUAAUCCUUGAGAAGCAAGAGCUGCUCUUGGAGGGACUGCAUUGCAUCAGCUUUGAUGGCCUGAGGGUAUAACUGAGGCAAAGCCUACAGGGAGAGGUAAUACCUGUCAGCAGAUCAGCUAAGUACAAUUGAGAAAAAACAGCACAUAAGCCUCCUGUGGGUACAUUCUCCAUCAGGCACUCAUUGUAUAAUAUAAAUUGGCUUAAUAUAAAUUACAUUAGGCGGAUGAGGUAUAAGUGCCUGAUGGAAUGAUGGCGGGCAAUUGGCUCUGAGCAAAGGCAGUAAGAUUCAGUCGUAGCAUUGAUGGUCAAAAGAUGGAAGCUGGGCAAGGGUGCAGGGAGAGGUGAUACUGUGCAAUCCAAAUAAAUAAGUGCACUGUGCAGCCAGGUAUGGGGUCUGGUCUGUCAUCUCCUGUUCCAAAACCGCAUAAGGUUUGCUGCUGUUUCCAUUCCAAGACCUUCUUCUAUUAAGUACUAGAAAUGCAAAAUGAAAUCAAUCAUAAUACAAAUGGGUAGCUACAGGUUAGGUGAUUUCUCUGUUAGUUUUUUUGUCUUCAGUAGCUUUUCAACAAAGCUCUGUAUCAACAGACCCAAGCAUGCUUAAAAUAGAAAUUCGUCAUUUUUCAAGUAAAACAGGUAAGCCACCUCAUGUGUUUCUGCAGAUGAAAAAUACAGAACUAAAGGAAGUGGUUUGUCCAAAGCCUCAGGGCAAGCUUGUGGCAGAGUCUGAGAGGAAACCUGAGGCUUCCUCAUGCCCUGCAUGCUAUUUGGCCAUCUGCCCUUCUCCUCUGGGAGACACAGUGACCUGCACAGAAUGCAAGACCUCCCAGAGCACCCACAGAGUGGUUUCCUAUGUGAAACUCCAUGUAAAACUCUUGGCCUUUCAGGAAUUAGGAGAUCUGCAAGAAAAAUGAGAAAUAAUUCAACCAGCCUAUGGCAUGGGAAAUCCAUCCUCUCCGUCUUCUGAUGUCACAUAAGUCUGAGCCUUGCUCUCAUCAGCUCCAGUUUCUCACCACUUAAGCACUACGAAACCAUGAAACAGGAAUGUUAUUAGGAUAAAUCCACACAUAAUUGAGUGGAAGCCGUCACUAUACUGUAUACGGCGUGGUUACCUCAACGUAUAACAAUAAGAUCCAUAGCACUAAAGUCUUUCAAAAAAAGGUAGAUUUCAGAUUUUAUUUCUGUGUUGACAUUAUCUCAUUCAUUUCAGUUCUGACUUUCCUCCCAUUUCCCUGUGCUGACCUUCCACCAGGAUUGACUGGUAGCCCGUGUCCACUGGCUGCACUAUUUGUACAGUAGUUGUCUCCUUUGGAUUUCUUACUUCUUUCAGCAGCAUGAUGAAAAUGCAACUUUGUGGCCUGCAUGACAAAGAAUUUCCCAAAACCUCUGGAUUUAAUAAUAAUAAUUAAAAAACCCUACAAAAGUCCUUCCAGAACACUAAAUGAUUUUUUUUCUGAGGGAGAUUUCUUUCCAAAAAAUGUUCCCACACCUCCCGUAGCCCAGACCCUCCAUUCACAGAGCUCAAAACCCACAGUCAUUCCUACUUCGGUGCAAUUACCACAGUGUAAAAUUAUACCUAUGAAGUUUGAGCUCUUAUAAAAAUAACAAGCCUUUCUUUCCCCACAUAAAGCAAAGAAAAGCAAAGGCAGGAAAGGACAUGAUAGGAGCUCUGCUGAAUUAGACAAAUACCUUUGGCAGCAAACAAUGUCUGGGAAUGGAGGAUGUUCUUUCUCAGCAAAAGAAAGACAACAAAACUUUGUUUGCGAUGAUAGAUUUGCACAUCUCUUCAAAGCCACUGAACUCUGCCCAGCUUCGUCCUUGAGAUGGGCAAAAGAAAUCCCUGGAGAAGCUCAUGGAAGCCACCUUAGCCAUGGACAAAAAUGGACAGUGCAGGAGUAGCACCAGUGAGAAGCAUAGCAAAGCUUCUGAAAGCAGAGAGCGGAGCAGCCAACUAGUAAACAGACUAGAGCUAAGUCCUUGAAAAAUGAACGUAGGUCUAAGUUCUGUCCACCUCCGAGUCUAACUCCCAUCAUCCUGUCCACGUGCACUGGUUUGGUGCCCUUGGAAAUGAACUCUUCCUACAUCUUCCAAUCCCUGAAUGUUAAUUACUAUAAGUAUUCAUUAUUGCCAGUCGAAGAUCAGUUCAUCAUUAAAGGUAGUUAAAUGGACUGUAAGUAGAUGUGGCCAGCAGCAUUUCCUUUGCACCAUGAAGGCACAAGAGAACAAUUAUUGUUGCUCCUCAGGCCCGUGUAAGCAGAGCCAAAGGGACUUUGAGGGAAUCCCCAGGCAAAGACAGAGCCCGGGGAGAUCUUGUAACCAGUGCCGGACCAAAAACUGCACUUGAAGUUCAGAGCCCUGAGAGAAGUUGAAAAAAUAUCGCUCUGCAUCAGUUGAGAAGUGGGAGACCACAAUCUGCAGGACAGCACUUGCAGGGCAGAGUAACCCAAAUGUUGUGUAUAGGGCUGUUUGGAGUUGAUAUGCAUUUUUACCCACUCAGUCAGAUCAGACCAAAGAACUUGAAUUCAGGACUGAGUCACCAGCCUGGCUUCUAAAGUACUCAAGCAGGAUGUCAGUGGUGGAUACAACCACAAAGAGAGCAGCUGCCAUCUUGUGUCACCAACCAUGGUGUUAAUUGAGACGAAUGGCAAAAGCCCAUUCAGUGCACUACAGUAAACCUGCCCCUGUGAGAUUGCCAAGGCAAUCUCACGCCAAGUGCUUGCUGCGGCAUUUCUUCCUUGUGCAGAAAGGCCUGUGGUGGGGGUCACAACCCUGGCUGAUCUACUCUCCUCCUAUUUCUUUAUGGCAUCACCAGGGCAGUGGGAGAGAGCUGUUUACUUGGUAGCAUAGAGGCCAUCCCAAGGCUUAAUGGAAACAUGAAAAGCCCAGCACUGCUCAGUAAAGGCAAGGGAUUUCCAUCCCAAGGCCCCUCCAGGCAUUUUCCUGAUCAGCAGAAGCAUGGCCAAGCAUGCAGACACCCAAACUGAGCAUCACUGCAGCAAGCCGGCACGCACCACUAAGCACAUUGGACAUGGUAGCUUCAAAAAAAAAAAAAAAACACUUUUAAACAACCAACGCUGUGAACUUCAAUGAGCCUCAGAGCAGCACUCAGUAGCCCUUUGUCUGUGGCAGACAAAAGGUAGAGGUAUUGGUGUGCAAGCCUUGGCAAUUGGAAAAUAGUUCAUGCUAGGGGGAGCAAAAAGUGAGGAAGCACUGGUUGUGAGUGAUUAAAACAUGGUGCUCUCUGAAAGGGUAUGAAAAGUGACAGCCCUAAUGCAUCAACUGCUGCACCUGAAAAUCACUAGCUGAGAACAUAAUCGCAAGGCAAAGCAAUUAAUGCUGAGCAGCAUCUGCCACACAAAGACCCUCACUGCACUUAAUGGAAAGAAGGAAAAAGACACUGAAAAAAAGAACCCACAAAAUAGCAGUCUGGUUGAAGGUAAGAGCGGUCAUAAAUGACAGCAGCAGCAGAAGGACCAUAUCAAACAGGAUUUUGAUUGUGCAGCAAGCAGCAGCAGCUGGUUGAGUGGCUGAAAGGCAACGAGGGCACAUGCUGGUGUUAGUGACAGGGACUUGCCAGGGAGAUGUGUUAUCCUCAGCGAGCUGAUCAACAUGCAGGCUGUGCUGUCCUGGUCUAUUGUGUGAUCUUGAGGAAGACAUCUCACAUGCUUUAGUUUCCCGAUGGGAAAGAGUUGUCACAAGGUCAUUGGGUCUGUAGAGCACUUUGUGAUGCUCGAUGGAAAGAAGAUUGAUGAGGACUGGAACUAGUCGGUGUCUGAGAGCAUUUAUGUCCACCUGCGCCUAUUCCUGCCCACCUCCAGGCAGAGUUGGCCUUCCAGCAGUGGGACAGCCAAGAGUACUCUGCCUCUGGUUGCUGCCCCACAUUAGAAGCCCAGCUGAACCUGUUUUUCUUUUGGUGAAUGCAAUUGUAACCCUCAUACCCAAACCUGCACUGAGGUAGGUGAUGAGAUGAAAUGAGAUGUCUUGGUUACCAGAAUGUGCAGGUAAGCAAGGUUGUCCUGGAGUCCCACCUUUCCCAGUGCUCCCUAUUUCCAAGACUCUGGUCUCUCAUCUACAAAAACUCCCUGGCUUUUCUAUAUUUUCACCCCAAAUACCCUUCAUUCCUUUGCCUCUGAUUCUGGAUGGCUAAUUUUAAGUGUGGGCUACAUGUGUCCAAUAACCAUAGGUACACACACAACUCCUGGCAGAGUCUUUAUAGCUACCACCAGAAACCACCACUCCCUGGCUGUAGACAUGCACCUUUGCUCCACUCCUCGCAACCAAGUUCAGAUCCCCAGAGGGAAGAUCUAAAUCACAGAAUCAUAGAAUCAUUAAGGUCUGAAAAGACCAUUAAGAUCAUUUAGUCCAACCGUCAGCCCAACCCUCCAUGCCCACUAACCACGUCCCUCAGCACCACAUCUACAUGGUUCUCGAACACCUCCAGGGACAGUGACUCCACCACCUCCCUGGGCAGCCUGUGCCACUGCCUCACCACUCUUUCUGAGAAGAAAUAUUUCCUAAUAUCCAACCUGAACCACCCCUGGCGCAACUUGAGGCCACUAUUCAAUGGAUCCUUUCAGUAUCCUGAAAACCCACAAACAAAGCACACAUCAGUCCCCAAGCAGCCCUGACAUGCCUGUCAGCAGGGGACCAAACAUGAGCAGUAGAUUUGGGUCUGACCCUCAGUCCUUCACUACACUGCCUCUGCACAGCUCUUGCUCACCAUGACAGAGAGAUCUGUCUGAUUUUCUAAUCCAUCUGGACCCAGGACUCUUCUCAUCCUCAGUUAAUCCUGCUCCUUUGCAGCCAGAGAAAGUCAUGAUGGUGUGAGAAUGAAAUGCUCUGGGUCACCGCUGGCACACGAUGCCCUCACAGUGGUGGCAUUCCCCAUAAGAGGAAGCAGCCCAGUGAACCCACAACGGGACACUGCAGUAAUCUAAUCAGAUGGUGAUAAGAGAUGGGAUGAGCUUUGCAGCAUCUGAUAUGGAUAAACAAGCCAUAUGGACGAGCUGAUACAGACAAGCCAAGGCUUGUUAGUAUUCACGAGAGAAUAAACUGAAGCAUUGAAAUAGCAGCAAAAAAUGACCAUCCAGAAGAUGAGAACUAUUGAAAUGAGAUGUGACCAGCAACUCCUUUCUUGAAAGCAAACUGAAGCUUGUUUCAUCCAUGUCUCCAUACUUAUCUGCUUCCUUUGGCAGCAGAAGAAAAGCUUGCGUUCGAUUAGCUGGCUUAGCUGCACACAGCUGGGAGAGCUGAGAGAAUACUUCCCACGGACUAAUUUAUUCCACAAAUAUAACAUAUUUUUCUGCUCACAGAAUACCCACAAACACACUGCAGUUUCCUUACAUAUUUUUCUUUGAAUUUUUUUUGGCACAUCUUCAUGAAUUGUUUGCAAGUUCACUGUUUGCAGGGCUCAGUGCUGGAAUCUGGGCUGUUGGUCACGUACAUCACAUGCUUUCAUUUCUGCUGGUCCCUGGCUGAGGCUGUCCUUCAUCCCGUCAGAUUCAGCACUCUUUGAUGUCAAUGAGACUCAUUCUCUUUGACUUCAGUGCACUUGGGUCCAGCCCUUUGUUUGGGAAGGAACUGGGAGAAGCCACUUCUCUUUUGAUACUCUCAAACUGGCCUAAGAUUUAUUCAGGAACUCAGCAAACAUUCAUGCCUUCCCACAGAAGCCUUUCUCUGAUCUGCUCCUAAGAAAAACUCAAGUUUUUGAAGAUUUAUGGGAGCCAACAUUUAUUUCCUUGGAACUCUUGUAGUUAUUCAGUCCAGUGCAGAAUGGAUGUAAAAUAGUGUCCAGCUAAAUCUCUGAGUUCAAGUCCCACAGUGGUGCACUCAUCCAGUAUCAGAGGAGGGAAGGAGGAAGCCCAUCACUUGCUUGGAUGCAAUGUUUGCCUUUGAUUUUAUUUCAGCUUGAAGUCCUGCCUGCACCUCAGUUUGUGGAAGCCCACAGUCUACAAGCUCAAAAUCCUCCCUUCUCACCAGAAGGCAUAACUCCCCACAAGCCCUGCAGUUCUUCCCAUCCAUCUACCUAGGCUUAUGGUCACCAACACCUCCAAGCACAUCCUUACAACAACUGGAGAGAGCUGCAUCAAGACACAUGGCUCAGCUUUUUGCUCCCUGGAGCAUUAUAUUCCACAGGAUGCUCAGCAUUUGGAAAACAUCCCCGCACUUGGCAGGAGGUGUAGUCAGGCACCAGAACAGGGAGGUGGUGGAGUCACCAUCCCUGGAGGUGGAACCGUGUAGAUGUGGCACUGAGGGAUAUUGUUUUGUGGACGUGGUGGGGAUGGGCUGAUGGUAGGACUAGAUGAUCUUAGUGGUCUUUUCCAACCUUCAUGAUUCAGUGAUACGGUGGCGAGGCUGCAAGCACUGAACAACACAAUUCCAGAUGGCACUAUGGCACUGGAAGGCAGCAGAAGAACUAGGGAGGAUGUGGAGUAUUUUCUUUUCCUGCUCCUCCCGGGCAGUGCAGUGCUGGCAGCUCAUUUAGCUUCAGGGCUGUCCGCACGUUGAAAUACAAAUUGUCUUCUCUUCAAAAUCCGGUUUAAAAAUAGCACUAUUUGAGGAGUAUAUAAAUAAGUAAUCAUUUGGAACACAAUAUCAGAGCACCCUUCUUUAAUUAAAUGGUUGCUUGAUGCAUUUCAAAGCUCUGUUCUGACUCAGUCUUCCUGCACCUCUGUACUUUUCCUGUUAUGAACAAAUCUCAUCUAACUGCACCAUGAAUUUUAAAGCAAACUAGAUGGCACAGAGUAAUAGGGCUAUUAAUAUCCUAAUUGCAGAGCGGCACUUGGGACUGGCCCAUUCUCAUACAGAGACAGGAAGAAAUAUCUUCUCAGACACACAAGAAUGGCUUCAAUGGCCAUCAUUGCCUCCAUUUGACACCUGGAUUAAAGGAGAACAUGGAGAAAAUAUUCUAAUAAGAAGGCACACAUUUUUCCGCUCAACCCAGAUAGCAUUUGCUAAACAUGGCCAGGAAUGUCAUUCUGACUAUUCAGACCAACCUCUCUUCUGGUCCUAAAUACCACUAAAGGGUGAGCAGAAAGGCCAUGGGCUUCUCUUUGUUGCAGUGCAUUCUUUGUGUAAUCCCGGGAUUGGGUCAGGCUUUUUUAUAGUAUCACAGAAGUGAGGAAUGGAAGAGACACAUGACGAGAGGCCAGCAGUUCACUCUGCCCCUGAGCAGGAUCACUGACUGUUUCACCCACUAGGGCUUUGUCUUGUCUGGCUUAAAAUACUAAAAUUCACACCACUCUUCAUCUUACCCUAGGGAGGAGCUCUGAGAAAGUGUAAAUUCCACCCCUAACAAAUAUUUCCCGAUUGCAAGGCUGAGAGCCUCCUUCUCUUAAUUCCACCCAACUACUCAUGCUGACCAUUUAAAAGCAUACCAAAUUCUUCCCUCAGACUUGCAGGGCACCACUGCAACCAUUUGGCUCCUCUGGACAUAUCCAGCAGUUCUUGUUUCCCUGCAGGUCCUCGUGGCACUGGAGUCAGAUUUCCCCAGCACAGCCCUCCUCGCUUCUCAUGCAGGCUCAGGAGCAGCUGCCAAAUAACAACAAACAGAGCUCUUCUUUUUUUUUCCCCUGACUGACAUGGGGGAAACGACAGGAGAUUCAAGCUGGAAGAAUGCAAGGAAAAUCAGAGCCUCUUCCUUGGGCUGGUUUGUUUACACACGUGCUUUUGGGGAGGGAGGAAAGGAGAGCAGCUCGUGUUCAAAGAUGGCCAUUUGUCAUCUGGUGUGCAUGGGCCUAAAACUUCCUCAGAGCCUGUACCCAAAAGCCAGUUUCAACUGGAUGUGGUAUGGUUUUGAGUCCACAAACUGGUAUUAAAAGCAAAUUUGGCAGCCCUGGGAGGACAUAAAUAUUUCCAUGAUGAAGCCGGGAAGGAGGCAAGACAUGCUGCUUCGUGAGAAUUUACUUGAUGCAUUUUGUCUAACUUUGUACAGUAUUUAGGUGUCGGAGUACAACCUCCCAGGCUCUUUGGUGGCUCUCAUCCUUCCUUAUCCCAGGUGAUUUCUCCUUCUCCUCAGCCUGAGGCCAAUGCCCCCAACCAGAUAGAUGGUGCCACAUCUAAACCAACCUGUCGUCCUUUCAACUUCAAAGGACUGGGCUGGUCCUCACCUUACACAUCAUCUCCAAAUGCUGGCACAGUGGAAUUUGGCCAAAGCUCAUAGGGCACCAGCCCCAUUUGGGAUGUGUAGCACAUACGAUCCCACCACAGUUCCCUGGUUGGACUUAGGAGCUCCUAGAAGGCCAGGUUACUAAGGUCUAUGCAAAGAUGUGCUCAGAGGCCUUGCAGCUGCUUCUGAAUCCCAUCUUUACAUCUCCUUUGAAUUAACAGAUGACUCUUCUGAGUAGGCAGGCACCUCCUUUUUGUCCUCUAAAAUAUGACCUCUGCAUUAGGAUGAUGCUUACGCACUGUGCGUACUGCUCCUUUUCAUAUGUUGUCUGUUGAAUUCUAUCUAAAUGUGCAGCUAUAUUCAACAGAAGUGCUGAUGUUCAGAGUAAAUAUAGACAUACCUUUCCAAGUACACCUUGUAAAGCUAUCCUGAGCUCUUUGUAAUCUAACCCAACUGACUUGGCUGCUGCUGUAAACAUCAGUGUGCCUGACAUCAAGUUCAGGUGCUGAAGAAGCUUUGAAUGGAAGGCUGCUGCAAGAGGGGAUCAUGCAGAGAUGCUUUGCUUUGGCUCCAGGUCCUCUGGGUUGGGGAAGGGGCAGUGCCUGGGCAGGCAGGAGUAAUGAGCACAGAGCACAUGGCAGGGAUGCAGCAGGGGAGAGGCAGCUCAGGAGAGGAAAUCAGUAGAGGAAAAAUGAAGUGGAUUCCUCUGAAAGUAAUUUUUUCAAUUAAGAUUUAGAAGAGGGAGCAGAGGUACUGCCUCACUGUGCUCCUAACUCUUGUGUACUCAGAGUACAGUAACUUCACAGGAACACGGUCAGCAUCCAGAAGCCGUUCUCCAUUACACAGGAUCUUCUGUUGAGUUGCUUGAGGCUUGUGUGGUAGCAGCUUUAUUCAAAAUAACAGUGGUCCGUCUUUUAUCAAUUAGGAGAACAAUGACAGAAUCAUCCUUUACUAAUCCCUAAUCCUCCCCACAGCCGCUUCGGAGUCCCAUUCACAGAAUUCUUGUUUUAUUUACAUGUUUGUUGCGAUGGCAGCUGCAGCACUGGAUCCAAUGCCUUUCAGAUCCUAACACGUUUUGAGCCCCCUAAGGGGAACAAACGAAUGUCUUCAAAAUUAAAUGCUACAGGAAUAACAUGAGGAGAGUUCCAUUUAAAGUUAGAAAUGUUAUAAGUUCAGUAAUUAUGAGCUGUAAAUGAGGUAUCAGCCAUGCUCCACACGUGCCUGUCUGUAAGGAUUCCACUGGAUUUAUUUCCCUUCACAACAGACCGCAGCGUGGCUAGAUGAUUGUUUAGCCUGUGCCCAAAGCUGGCAGUGAGACUUUUGUUAUUGCUGCCUUUGGUGUUCAGAUAGGGCGUAGGGUGUUUGUCUGUCCUACAGAAAGAAGGGUUAUGCAGGCAUUGAAUUCUACGGCACUCCUUCAUACAGUAGACAGGGUUUAGAUAGGAAACUUGGAACCAUUUGCAAACUUUCGGUUUCUAUCCUGUCUCAGGUCGCUGUUUCCUGGCAGGCACUAUGACACCACACAGUAUUUGGUAUUCUGGCCGGGUGUCUUCACCAAGGUUGAUGAUAAUCGUUGCCUACAGACUGCGUAAUGAAGGGCAAAGACAUUUCCUGAGUGUGUUUUAUAACAGUCUUCUUCCUUUCCUGGUUGUAACCAAUUCUGUAGGUUGCCUGGCUUGGAAACAAAGCCAUCAAAGAUGAUGGUUCUAGGGUUGCCCCUCAGCAGCUCUGUCAGCAUUUGUUCAGAGAGGCUCUCUUCAGCUAUUCUUUUUCACCCUGACUGUUUUUCCAGACAGAUCCCUACUGAGCUGAUGUAGUCACACAGCAAACUGCUAGAAGCAGGCCAACAUAUGGUAUCACUUAGGUACAGUGCAGUCCCAGCACCAUUGUAGUGGUACUUCAGUAUCUCUGAUUCCACUUCUAAUCUCAAACAGACAAUUCAUUCGUGCACAAAAAAGAAAAGCAAGUAGGAGCUUAAAGAAGAUUCUGCAGCCCAUGGAAAGAGUUUGAAUUCCAUACCAUGCUUCAUGCCUUCAAGAGGUAGAGCAUUCAGCCCAGGAGCGUGAUGCCCAAGGAGUAGUUGGCUCUAUGGUCAUCUGAUUGCUCUGCUAGAGUAGGUCAGUGAGAUGUUAAAUACAAAGAGCUUUCAAGCCUUUAAAAUUGGACUUCUGCACAACUUAACUAGCUUUCCUGACCUAAUACAAUAAAUGCAAUCCACUGUGGAUACAAACAAAUCAGACAAAUAUGAGCCACUGGGACCUAAUGGAAAACCCCAAGUCCCAUUGAGACCAUAUCUCAGCUUUUCAAGCAGCAGCUCAAGGUAAGAUUGCAGGCAAUGCAGCAAGAAUCUGAUGUGCACAGGGAAGGAAAUUCUACUGUUUGGCAACAGGGAACUACUUGAGACCUUGUCAGAAGCGGUGGGUGGAAGACUUCUUGCACCAGUGUGUGGUGGCAGGGCAGGAGCAACAGCUGCAUGAAGGGGGGCUGAGGUUGUAUUCUGCCAUUAAGUAAGGAGCAAUGCCAUGUUUGGAAACCUCAUGCAAACCAGCUCUCUGCCAUUCGAGUUGCUUUUGGAAAACCUUCCAGAAAAUCAGUUUCCUUCAGUAGGAAAUUUAAAGGUGCUGCAGGAGCUCAGCCUCUUGAUUUCAACGACUUGAUGUUCACAUGCACCCCAGCACACGCUCUCAGAGGUUUCACACAACAGAUUUUCAUCUGUGGGUAACUAGAGAUACAGACAUGCGACUAUAUUUGGAGCCACAAAUGAGGCACAUCACAACUACUGAACAGCACACGCUCCUUUUUCCUGUUAAAGUGACUUGUCUGCUUUAGGAGCAUCAGCUUCCGACACCCACAAUUAAACUGUGAAUUUUCUAAGGUUCGUUAGACAUCCUUCCGCAGGGAGGCCAGCAGUGCAGAACUCAGGGGGCCACCUCCUCCACAACAGGAUCAUCACUAAUGAGAAUGUGUUAUCCUGCGUUCUUCCAAAUCAAUUAUAAUCUUGCUCUUUUUUGGGGUACCCGGCUUCAAGUGACAUGAAGUAAAUGUGGCCUUCCAAAGGUAGGUGUUCAAUUUAAGCUCAUCUUACAGGCACCUGAUUCUGGGCAACCGAAAAUGGGAGCACCAAAAACAGAGGUGUUUUGAAAGCAGUGACUGCCGUAAGGGAAGAGUUCGGUUCGUUUCCUCUCUGGAGUGCUCUUCUAUUGACUCAGUCCUCAAGCAGUGGGAGGUGCUGGAAGGUUGUUUAAACACAAAGAAGAGAGGCAAGGUGAUCUCAAAUAAGAUACGAGUACUGUGGGUUGACCUAUUACUGAGAUGUUUACUGUACAGAAUUUUGUUUAACUUCAGUCCUUAAAGAAUAAAAUCGGCUCCUGAAGGCAUUUAAGAGACUGCAUCCAGACAGCAAGCUGCAGCCUGUGUCAGCACCACUUGAAGGGCCACUGGGGACUGUGCUGGAGCCCUGUUCAGGCAGAGGAAGCAACUGCCAUGGAUCUGCUGUCCCUGCUCAAUGCAAAGAAGUUGGACCAGAUGACCUUUAAAGAUCCCUUGCAACUCCAACUCUAUGAUUCUAUGAAAAUAAAUGGACUCCAGCAGCUCAAAGAGGUACCUGAAGUUAGCUGUGCCUGAGCCGUCUUCAGGAGGGCUGAGGAUGUGGUAGGAAGCAUAGCCUGAUCUGGCAGACCUCUUCUGUCUCUGGUGGUUGGCAACCCUGCACACAGCAGGGGGGUUGAAACUAGAUGAUGAUUAUGGCCAUUCUAUGUUAUGAUAUAAAAGCUCCAUUCCUGUAGUAGUGUAAAAAGUGAUGAAUUUAUUGCUCCGUUCAUUAGUAUACGGAUUGAGGAAAGGAAGGGAGGGCAGGUAGCAAGUCUGGUUGGGUGCUUGCCACGAGCCUGGGUGAGGACUGCAGUCUUGGAGGCAGCAGGAGGAAGACACAGAUGAAAGCUGAAAAAAUAAAUAAAUGAAAAUCGUACUCAUUUUUAACCAGCAGCACAAUUUGUGUAUCACACAAGAGCUGUACAAGCCACGCUGAGCCUUCUAUGAUUGGUAUGCGUAUGUUUAGAGCACUGCUUCAGGAGAGGGCAAGAGAGAGCUCUUCCCAGGACUGUGGGAGCCCUUCCACUUAUAGCUGUGAAUUAAUUCCAAUUAGCCCUAGAAAUGAGCCUCUCUGGCUCUUUGUUCUCUGAAAUUGUUCUUUUCAGAGACAGGCUCCUCAAUUAGCAGCUAAUUACGAUGGUCUUGCCUCCUCAUGGAUAGACGGGGCAUAAAAAGCCACAGUCCUUGACAGCUGUGGGAGAUCUGCCUUCAGCUUGAGAAGCGGAAUUAUUGAUAUCGAUUUCAAGGGUCUCUGGCUCCUGUCUGUAAAUCCCUCACAACCUGAAACAACAUUAUUUGUGACACUACUGAGAAUUAUUUGAUGCUGUGAGCUCUGGAAAAUACAUCACAACUCCAGCCCUCACCAAAUGUGCUGAAAUCAAAAGUAGACAGGCUGUAUGCCUGAUGGCAUGUCUCUCCUCUCCUCUUCUACAGCAGUGAAUGAGGAAACCAGAUGCACACCCCGGCACAUUUUGAGGAACAGCUAGGUGUUCCCAGGCUGUGUUUUGCUAUCACCUGCCUUUCUCUUUAAAUGUUGUUGUACAAUGAUUUUAGUAAGGCUGCUCAGGGAGGUGGUGAAGUCACCAUCCCUGGAGGUGUUCAAGAACGGCGUAGAGGUGGCACUGAGGGAUGUGGUUAGUGGGUAUGGUGGGGAUGGGCUGACAGUUGGACUAGAUGAUCUUAAUGACCUUUUCCAACCUUAAUGGUUUUAUGAUUUUAUGAUUCAGCUCUCCAUAAAUUUGUCUAACUUGUUCUUGAACAUGCCAAUACUACCCGCACCCGUAGUCUUUUGCAGGAAUCAAUCUCAGGGAGCCACUACUCCUUGUAAGAGAAAUGGGCUUUCUUUCAUCUAAGAUCCUCAUUCAAACAUCGUUUUUGCAAUGUGCACUCUCACUUUCAAGCUGCAUACAGUUCUUCGAUGCAUGCAGAAGGAGAAAAUGGUUUGUUUGUUUUUUAAUCUGACUGUACUAGGGUCUGUGUGUACAAGCAGUACUUCCUGAAGGACGUGACAGAAUUGUGCUAGCAGCACGAUUUUCAGCUACUUGUAGAUAUACAGUUGCUCUAACAUAACUGGAAAUGCAGUCUGCUCUGCAGUUCUCACGUUCCUCUUGUAUGACUCUUUCACUGGAGAUCUCCAUGGAGCAGUUAUUGUCUGAUAUUUCCUUGGCAAUACCAGAGGGGGAUUAGCAGCAUUGAAAGGACUGCAGAGAGGACUGCUUUGAGAUAAAAUUUCUCUGCAGUUAAGCUGCAGAUAAGAUGAAUGCCAGCUCCAGUUGGCCACAGGCUUUCCCCCACUGAGGAUCUACAUCUGGAUAUGAACUUUGCGCAGAUAUCAAUUAUUUCCAUGCUGCUGUAGAAAGAAUCCCUAGACCCCGACUAAAUUUCAACCUCAGCUAAGUCACACAUCAUAUCCUUGGUCCAGAGUGUGAAAAGCAAAGCCCUACCACUGGCUUGGUGCAUAAACAGCACCUCCUUCCCCAUAUACUAGGAAAAGAGUGACUGAAACCUUGUUUUUGUGUCACAGGCACUCAUGAAAUGCAGUAUACACGUUGCUGUUGCAUUAUAGCUCCAGGUAUCUGUAGAUUUCCUCCCAAUGCAAAAAUUUAUGUCCUGAAGGGAAAACAAACAACUUUAGACUAAAUUAGAUUACAAAACAGUUAUGUUUUCAAACAUCUUUAUGAAGUUUUUUUAGCAUUUCUCUUUCCUACAGAAAACUGUAAGUAUUUGCAGCAGCAAAUGAAUGUAACGUGGCAAACACCCAUCAGAAAGGGCAGUGAUGUAUUCAAUCCCGCCCUGAGCAGAGAAAGGAAGCUCUCCAGGUCUCUUCAAGGCUAAUUUAUAAGAGCAACAAACUAAGAAAGUACACAUCUCUGCUUUUGUUUCACAUGGCACUUGUCAAGCACGUCUGCUAGGUAGAGCUGCCAGUCUGCUGCCUCUGUCAUGGCAUAUAAUAAGCAUAUGAGCUAGUUGCUUUCAAAGAGGCAACGUACAGGAUCCAAACAUAAAUACUACUGCAAAUAAAAUGUUUCCCUAAAUACUGUGAAAUCCAAACCUUUGUCCUUAGCAACAUAAUUCAAACUGGUGAUAUCAGUGGGAAAACCACCACGAAGGGUGAAGGAUGGAGGGAAGAAAAGGGGGGGCGGGAAGGGGAAAAGUGUAUCAGAAGAAAACUGGAGCACUGGAUACUCCAUACUCACAACCACCGAGAAGGCUCCACUCCAUCAUCACAGUGAAAGGAAGAAGAAGGUCCACGGCAAGGAGAAACUGCAACAGCCAUUAUGAUGGCGAACAAACAGAGGGAGCACGAGGAACUGAGUCAAGAAGAGCAAUAUACUGGCAAACACUAAAAAACAAGGGAGAAACUUAAGCGUGUAUGCAAUAGCAUUCAGUGUUCCAUAGCAUUCUUAAUGCUACAUUUUUAAAUUACCCUUGUUUCCAAACAAAACACAAUGGGUUCUUUUACAGAACUCAAUGUUUCUGCAUACGGAGCCGCUUUCCUGUUGCCUAUGAAUGAGCACACUUCACUUGUCCAGGUCUGCUUUCUCCCUUGCCACCUCCCCUCUUACAUGUCCAGAUAGAGCCAUUGAGAAGUAAGGACAAGUUUCCAGCCCUUAAAAGUCACCCUCCGUGAGCUGUAAUCACUGAUCUUAAGCAAGGCUUCCAGCCUGCCCUGGCUGCAAUGUAAAACACAAGUAUUUAAGUGAGCCCAUUUUAUCAAGCAAUUGAGGCAUGCUAAGAGCACGCACAUGGUUAAUUAGUGCAGUUCCGCCAACAGGCAAUAACUCAUUAAGCUACAGUAACUCGACUAUGUUUGAUCAUGUGCUUUAUGCCCUAAGGUGCUUUAUAAGUAAAGCAGUAAAGUCAACUUAUCUACCAUCUCAAUUCCUCUCUCCCUCUUUUUGUUUUUUUUUUUUUCUUUUCCUCCUAACCACACAAAAUCGUGGUUAAACCACAGAGGAUAAUUUCUGGAUGCAGAAUAGUUCACCACCUUCCCCUUUUUGGCAGGCUGAGCACACGUGAAGAUUGUUAUCCAGUCUCCUUUCAGCCUUGCCUACCCCAGGCUAAAAACAAACACGUUCCCUCCUUCCCCACAGGCACUGCUCUGCAGACAUCCUCUCUGCAGUGUGCUCCCCUAGGGACUGCCUCCUCCUGUUUCCCCAGGUGUAAUGCCAGAAAUGGGUCCCAGUGAUGCAGCUGAAGGGAUUAACUCUCACAGCAUCCCUGUCGGCACAGCCCAGCCCAAUUCUUCUUCCCUCCACAGCCAUGUCGUUAGUCCAUCACAGCCCCCAGCCCCCAGUGCCACCUGGCUGCUCUGUCCCACCCUGUACCUUUGUAGCUGGUCAUUUCCACCUAAGUGCAGAUUUGUACUUAUCUUCACUAAAUUGCAUCCUGUUUAUUUCCAGAU